AACGAACGCUGGCGGCAGGCCUAACACAUUCAAUUCGAGCGAGGACUUCGGUCCUAGCGGCGGACGGGUGAGUAACGCGUGUUAACGUGCCCUUUGCUACGGAAUAGCCCCGGGAAACUGGGAGAAAUACCGGAUGUGCCCUUUGGGGGAAAGAUUUAUCGGCAAAGGAUUGGCCUGCGUUGGAUUAGGUAGUUGGUGGGGUAAUGGCCUACCAAGCCGACGAUCCAUAGCUGGUUUGAGAGGAUGAUCAGCCACACUGGGACUGAGACACGGCCCAGACUCCUACGGGAGGCAGCAGUGGGGAAUCUUAGACAAUGGGCGCAAGCCUGAUCUAGCCAUGCCGCGUGAGCGAUGAAGGCCUUAGGGUUGUAAAGCUCUUUCAGUGGGGAAGAUAAUGACGGUACCCACAGAAGAAGCCCCGGCUAACUCCGUGCCAGCCGCCGCAGUAAAAC
rnacentral:rRNA from 1 species